rnacentral:rRNA from 1 species
UACGUAGGGUGCAAGCGUUAAUCGGAAUUAUUGGGCGUAAAGCGUGCGUAGGCGGUCCGCUAAGUCAGAUGUGAAAUCCCCGGGCUUAACCUGGGAACUGCAUUUGUGACUGGCGGGCUAGAGUAUGGCAGAGGGGGGUAGAAUUCCACGUGUAGCAGUGAAAUGCGUAGAGAUGUGGAGGAAUACCGAUGGCGAAGGCAGCCCCCUGGGCCAAUACUGACGCUCAUGCACGAAAGCGUGGGGAGCAAACAGG